AUGUCUAAUCUAAACCAAACCUGCUCCAAUGAUGCAUUGGACUACUUCAAUGAGAACAUAGGGCUAAGAGGGCCAAUCACGCGAGUCAAUGCUCUCAUAGUGGUUAACGCCAUCUUGAUGGGGUUCAUGGUCGGUAUAGGCGCCUAUGGCCAUCGCUACCGGCACAAUCCACUGAUCCGUUUCCUCUUCCUGGCUGCCACCAUAUUGUUCUUGCCCAUUGUCUCUUAUAUUGUCUCUUCCAGCGGUUUAGGCAUUGGCAAGUUGACCAGCAUACUACACUAUGGUGAGUUGCUCAUAAAAGGGGAAUGUUAUACAGGAUUACACAUAAUCUUCAUCCUUAUAUGGACGGGUUUUGUCUUGAUUAUUGGUAUCAAUACCACUGCACUAGUGGCAGCUGAUGCUAGGGAAGGUCGAAGCAUUCAUCCCAAUAUGACGCUACUUAUUCAAGCAUUAUGGACUUGCUACCUAGGGAUAUACACCUCCAAAAUGUUUGUUCUCAAAAGUUUCGGCAACUUAUUGCUUCUUGGGGCAGUUGGUUUUAUAUUUGUCAAAUUACUUCUGAAGUAUUAUGCAUGGUGCAUUGCUAGAAAAUCAUUAGCCUUUGGGCGCAAUCCUCGUCUUAUUGUUGGAUACAUGGAGCAGCUACAGGAUGGAGGCCAUAUUGUUAUGUCAGAAAGUGAGCAUAUACCUCCUCCACUUAUAGUUACUGGUGAGCACAACAUGCAGGUGCAGGAGAAGCCUUGUGGCUACAAAUUCAAGUGGAUAUCCAGCAGAGUGACAGGUGAUAUGAACAGCAAGGGAUUAGUGACCUUUGAUAAAGUCUGGCAGUUGAAUGACACACUUUUGAGGUCAAAGUCACUAGAGCUAAAAGAACUAUGCUUUUCAUUCGCAUUAUUUAAACUGCUACGGUGUCGAAUUGCAAGGUACACAAUUACUGAGGUUGGUUUCAUCAAGGGCAGUAACUUCUUGCGACAAAUGUUGCUUGAAGAUAAUGAUGGUGAGAGAGUAUUUGCGGCAAUUGCACAUGAGCUUUCUUUUCUUCAUGAUUAUUAUUAUUCACCCCAUCCAAUCACAUAUUCAAGAAGUUGGCUGCCAAUUGUGAGCAUAUUCAUUUCAAUACUGAGCAUAUUUUACAGCUUAGUUGUCUUGAAAGAUAUAACGAUUGGUGUUGCCAUUCCCCUGGUCAACUUGACCAGUCACCCGGAAGGGCAGAUUAAUUGUUAUAUCUCCUGUAUCGAGAUUUCUUCGGACACUUCAAGAAGUUUGAGCACACGAGGAGGAAGUUCAAUAAUAUCUUUUGGAACUCUGUACUUCGAUAUCAUGCCAUUGUAUAUACUUGCUGCAUUAGUUAUGCUUAACGAGGUUAGGGACAUAGCAUCAUACAUUUGCUCUAACUGGACUAUAGUAGCCUUGGUAUGUCAAUAUGUGAAGCAUGGUUCUAGGCGACAAUCUGCUACCAUGCAGAGAUGUGUUAGUUGUGUGCUAUGGAUCAAAGGCAAGUUCACAAGGAAUUCGGAGGACAAAAUGAGUCAGUCCUCAAUUUUGGCGCUCCACCCAAGGAAAACUCCAAUGGCUCUUCUUCAGCGUCUUCAUCUAGCAGGCCAACCUAAGAAGACACCAAGUGCAGUGAAAUCUGCUAUCGUUGGUGCACUGAGAAACAGCUACAAGAGAGGACAAAUCAGUGGUCAUGUGCCAUCUUUCCAAAGGAUCCUACAUCUGCAAGACGACAACAAGAUAAUUUGGACAUUUGGGGAAAGAGGUACAACCGAGAUCAUGCUUGUAUGUCACAUUGCCACGGCAAUCCUCGGAGCAAGGUCGCGACCGCAUCAACCUCCAUCCAACUCUGACCAUAUGUCUGCUGCCAAUCACAUAUCGCAGUAUUGCGCCUACCUGGUGGCACACUGUCCUGAGCUACUUCCUGAAGAUGAUGAAUGGUGCAAGAGCCUAUACAAGGCCAUCAAGAAAGAUGCCAAGCGUGUACUCGUUGGCAAAAAAAUUAGGCAGUCGAUGACAUCUGAGCUGGAGUGCCAGAACUGGUUGAUUGAGUUGCUGUGUGCAGAGGGUAAACAUGAGGUGCUCUUGGAUGGCGCGAGGCUUGCGGAGCGGUUGGUUGGGCUAACUGAAGAAGAAGGAGAGGAGAUGGCGUGGAAGGCCCUCGCAGUCUUUUGGUCAGAGAUGAUCCUGUAUGUCGCCCCGUCACACAACAUCGAUGGGCAUUUGGAGGCGAUCGCCCGUGGCGGCGAGCUGAUAACUCUUGUCUGGGCUUUGGUCACCCACCUCGGCAUAGUCGGUAGGUCCGACGACAUCACUGAUAGUGCUACUACCAUUGAUGUUUAA
rnacentral:rRNA from 1 species